rnacentral:rRNA from 1 species
GACGAACGCUGGCGGCGUGCUUAACACAUGCAAGUCGAACGGAAAGGCCUUUUCGGAGGUAUUCGAGUGGCGAACGGGUGAGUAACACGUGGGUGAUAUGCCCUGCACUCUGGGAUAAGCCUGGGAAACUGGGUCUAAUACCGGAUAGGACCGCACUUUAGUGUGUGUGGUGGCAAGUUUUUUCGGUGUAGGAUGAGCCCGCGGCCUAUCAGUUUGUUGGGGGGGUAAUGGUCUACCAAGGCGGCGACGGGUAGCCGGACUGAGAGGUUGGUCGGCCACAUUGGGACUGAGAUACGGCCCAGACUCCUACGGGAGGCAGCAGUGGGGAAUAUUGCACAAUGGGCGCAAGCCUGAUGCAGCGACGCCGCGUGGGGGAUGACAGCCUUCGGGUUGUAAACGCCUUUCGCCAGGGACGAAGCGUUUUGUGACGGUACCUGGAGAAGAAGCACCGGCUAACUACGUG